rnacentral:rRNA from 1 species
UACGGGGGGGGUAAGCGUUGUUCGGAAUUACUGGGCGUAAAGGGCUCGUAGGCGGCCAACUAAGUCGGACGUGAAAUCCCUCAGCUUAACUGGGGAACUGCGUCCGAUACUGGAUGGCUUGGAUUUGGGAGAGGGAUGCGGAAUUCCAGGUGUAGCGGUGAAAUGCGUAGAUAUCGGGAGGAACACCAGAGGCGAAGGCGGGUUACUGGGCUGAUACUGACGCUGAUGCGCGAAAGCUAGGGGAGCAAACGGG